rnacentral:rRNA from 1 species
CCAAUAGCGUAUAUUAAAGUUGUUGCAGUUAAAAAGCUCGUAGUUGAACUUCGGGGUCUACCCAUUGGUCAGGCUUAAUUGUCUGCACUGGUGAGAUGGAUCUCUACCUUCUGAGGAACUUUCAUGCCAUUUAUUUGGUGUGGUUGGAAAUCAGGACUGUUACUUUGAAAAAAUUAGAGUGUUUAAAGCAGACUAUCGUCUGAAUACAUUAGCAUGGAAUAAUGAAAUAGGACGGACCGAUUCUAUUUCGUUGGUUUCUAGGAUCACCGUAAUGAUUAAUAGGGAUAGUUGGGGGCAUUAGUAUUCAAUUGUCAGAGGUGAAAUUCUUGGAUUUAUUGAAGACUAACUACUGCGAAAGCAUUUGCCAAGGAUGUUUUCAUUAAUCAAGAACGAAAGUUAGGGGAUCGAAGACGAUCAGAUACCGUCGUAGUCUUAACCAUAAACUAUGCCGACUAGGGAUCGGACGAAGUUAAUUUUAUAAUGACGCGUUCGGCACCUUACG